GUAAGGAAUAUUGCUCAAUGGGAGAAAUCCUGAAGCAGCAACGCCGCGUGGAGGAUGAAGGGUCUAUGACUUGUAAACUCCUGUAAAGAAGGAAAAAAUUCCCAUUUGAUGGGAGAUGAUGGUACUUCUGGAGUAAGCCCCGGCUAACUACGUGCCAGCAGCCGCGGUAAUACGUAGGGGGCAAGCGUUGUCCGGAUUUACUGGGUGUAAAGGGUGCCCAGGCGGAUUUGUAAGUCAGAGGUGAAAUCUUACAGCUUAACUGUGAAACUGCCUUUGAUACUGCAAGCCUAGAGUAUGGAAGAGAGUGAUGGAAUAUCUGGUGUAGCAGUGAAAUGCGUAGAUAUCAGAUAGAACACCAAUGGCGAAGGCAGUCACUUGGUCCAUUACUGACGCUAAAGCACGAAAGCGUGGGUAGCAAACA
rnacentral:rRNA from 1 species